rnacentral:rRNA from 1 species
AGAAUCAACGCUGGCGGCGUGCCUAACACAUGCAAGUCGCACGAGAAACGGACUUCGGUCCUGAGUACAGUGGCGCACGGGUGAGUAACACGUGAAUCAUCUACCUUCGAGUGGGGAAUAAACUGAGAGAAAUCUUAGCUAAUACCGCAUAAUACCCACGGGUCAAAGCAGCAAUGCGCUUGAAGAGGAGUUCGCGGCAGAUUAGUUAGUUGGCGGGGUAAUGGCCCACCAAGACGAUGAUCUGUA